rnacentral:lncRNA from 10 species
CUGCUAAGUACAAGAUACUAUAUCAUGAGCACUUUGUCUCGCCAAUAUUCUAUGAAAACAUAAUUAUUACAGAAUAUUCUGGAAAGUGAAUAUACCAUGAUUUAUCCAGUCAUUUCCCUAUUAACACACAUUUUGUGAUUCCAAUUUAUCACUGCCACACAGUAUUUUCUUAAAUAACCUCACUUAUAAGUUUUGUUUGAACGUUUUUAUUAUUUUCUAUUUAAUAUAAUGUUAAUAUAAUGUUAUAUAAUAUAAUGUUAUAAUGUUAGGGUUUUACUAUAUAAGGUGUAUACAUUAUUUUAACGCUCGUUCCACUGGACACCCAAAGCCCUCAGUAAGUUUAGUGAAUAACAGUACAAUGCCCAAAUUUUUGAAAGUUUUUCUCUUCCUUAAUUUUUAGCAUUUUGCACUAUAUUUUAUUUUGAAUAAAUUAAAGAACUCAUUUAAAGUACCUUUCAUAGUGUCUCAUAUAGUGAGGUAUCAUACAUAAUGGUAUUAUUAUAAAUUUUGUUACUAAUAAUGACAUACAUAUACUUGCUCAAUUACUAGGAAAAUGAAUGCUUAAGCUUAUCUUUCUUUUAUUAUCAGUGGGUUGAAUUAUGUCUUAUAUUUAUUGACCAUUCAUAUUUCUUCUGUGAAUUUUCUUGUCUUUUAAUUAUUAUCAGUAUAUUUCUUUUUUCUCUAGAUUUUGUGUUAAAAAAACACUAUAAUAUGUAGUAACAAUAUUAUCCCUUUAUUAUUUUUGUUUUGAAUAUUUUCAUUAACUU